rnacentral:rRNA from 1 species
UACGGAGGGUGCAAGCGUUGCUCGGAAUCACUGGGCGUAAAGGGUGCGUAGGCGGGUUUUUAAGUCAGGGGUGAAAUCCUGGAGCUCAACUCCAGAACUGCCUUUGAUACUGAAGAUCUUGAGUCCGGGAGAGGUGAGUGGAACUGCGAGUGUAGAGGUGAAAUUCGUAGAUAUUCGCAAGAACACCAGUGGCGAAGGCGGCUCACUGGCCCGAUACUGACGCUGAGGCACGAAAGCGUGGGGAGCAAACAGG